rnacentral:rRNA from 1 species
AUUGAACGCUGGCGGAAUGCUUUACACAUGCAAGUCGAACGGUAGAGGGGGGCAACCCCUUGAGAGCGGCGAACGGGUGAGUAAUAUAUCGGAACGUGCCCAGUCGUGGGGAUAACGUAGCGAAAGUUACGCUAAUACCGCAUACGAUCUAAGGAUGAAAGCGGGGGAUCGCAAGACCUCGCGCGAUUGGAGCGGCCGAUAUCAGAUUAGGUAGUUGGUGAGGUAAAGGCUCACCAAGCCAACGAUCUGUAGCUGGUCUGAGAGGACGACCAGCCACACUGGAACUGAGACACGGUCCAGACUCCUACGGGAGGCAGCAGUGGGGAAUUUUGGACAAUGGACGCAAGUCUGAUCCAGCCAUUCCGCGUGCAGGAUGAAGGCCCUCGGGUUGUAAACUGCUUUUGUACGGAACGAAAAGGUUUCUAUUAAUACUAGGAGCUCAUGACGGUACCGUAAGAUAAAGCACCGGCUAACUACGUGCCAGCAG